rnacentral:sRNA from 1 species
AGCAAGUGCAUUUGGCUCUCCUCCCAGUAGCCACGCGUUUGCUGUUCCCCUCUGGAGGUUUAAACCUCACAAUUAGGGCCCUGGUCUUCCGAGGCCCUCUUUU